CUCGUAGGCGGUUCGUCGCGUCCGGUGUGAAAGUCCAUCGCUUAACGGUGGAUCCGCGCCGGGUACGGGCGGGCUGGAGUGCGGUAGGGGGGACUGGAAUUCCCGGUGUAACGGUGGAAUGUGUAGAUAUCGGGAAGAACACCAAUGGCGAAGGCAGGUCUCUGGGCCGUUACUGACGCUGAGGAGCGAAAGCGUGGGGAGCGAACA
rnacentral:rRNA from 1 species